GCGCCAGUAGCUCAGUGGAUAGAGCAACGGUCUCCGGAACCGUAGGUCAGAGGUUCAAUCCCUCUCUGGCGCGCCA
rnacentral:tRNA from 1 species